UACGAAGGGUCCAAGCGUUAUCCGGAUUUAUUGGGUUUAAAGGGUGCGUAGGCGGCUUAUUAAGUCAGUGGUGAAAGACUUCAGCUUAACUGAAGAACUGCCAUUGAUACUGAUGAGCUUGAGUACAGUUGAGGUGGGCGGAAUGUGUCAUGUAGCGGUGAAAUGCUUAGAUAUGACAUAGAACACCAAUUGCGAAGGCAGCUCACUACGCGAAUAUUGACACUGAGGCACGAAAGCGUGGGGAUCAAACAGG
rnacentral:rRNA from 1 species